ensembl:snoRNA SNORD1A small nucleolar RNA R38
UCAAGCCAAUGAUGAUAAAAGUUAUCCCUGUCUGAACACGUGUGUGGAGUCAUGGUAACCUGAGGCUUGA